AUUGAACGCUGGCGGCAUGCUUUACACAUGCAAGUCGAACGGUAACAGGCCGCAAGGUGCUGACGAGUGGCGAACGGGUGAGUAAUGCAUCGGAACGUGCCCAGUCGUGGGGGAUAACGCAGCGAAAGCUGCGCUAAUACCGCAUACGAUCUAUGGAUGAAAGCGGGGGACCGUAAGGCCUCGCGCGAUUGGAGCGGCCGAUGUCAGAUUAGGUAGUUGGUGGGGUAAAGGCUCACCAAGCCGACGAUCUGUAGCUGGUCUGAGAGGACGACCAGCCACACUGGGACGGAGAAACGGCCCGGACUCCUACGGGAGGCAGCAGUGGGGAAUUUUGGACAAUGGGGGCAACCCUGAUCCAGCAAUGCCGCGUGCAGGAAGAAGGCCUUCGGGUUGUAAACUGCUUUUGUACGGAACGAAACGGCUCUGGUUAAUACCCGGGGCUAAUGACGGUACCGUAAGAAUAAGCACCGGCUAACUACGUGCCAGCCGCCGCCGUAAAAC
rnacentral:rRNA from 1 species